UUUUAAUUAAUAAAUAAUGUAAUUUGAAAUUGUCAUCUCUUAAGUAAUACUUUAAUAAUUAGAAUUAAAUAAUUUAGAAACUUUGCAAAAAAUUGAUUUAGGGCCACAUCUAAUUUCAGAAGGAUAUCAUAAGACCAUAUUUUGUAGAGCAGAUUGUAUUGUUAUAUCAAUAAUUGUCCAAGUUGGAAAUGCUGCAAGAUAUAUUGAAAAUUCAAAACACACAGUGAUUUCAAAAGAUGUAACAACACCAAAGAAUAUUUUGUUCCAAAACAGAAUCUCUUUUUAAAUUCAUUUUGUAAUGGUGAGCCUGAAAAAAACUUCUCAAGCAUGCUGAAAAUGUUUGUUUUAUUAAAUUCCUGUGUAGAAAGGUGUAUAAGGUGGGUACAUUUAUUGGAUUUAUUAAAUUAUUUUAAUAAUUUCUGUUCAUUUCUAUUGUAAUGUCAUCAGAUCGUCACAGUGUAUCACAACUUGUUUAUUAGUUAAUUUUGUAUGUUUGGAAUAUUGUGUAUUAAUUACCAUUUAUGAGAUUUUGUAUUGGAUAUUUUAUUUAUGUAUUGAAAUUGUAUUAAUGAACUGAAUGUUGCAUAUACGUAAUGGUUAUUGUAUUUUAUGUAUUGGAUUUUGUAUCUAAAAACUUGGACUCUGUAGAGAUUAUUAUACUUACUGUAUUUGUGUUUAUGUUAUUGAACAAUAUGUUUGUUUGUAUUUUUUCUUUGCUCCUCAUACAAAAAGUAAAAAA
rnacentral:lncRNA from 1 species